rnacentral:rRNA from 1 species
AAUCUGGAAUAGCGCAAGACUGGGUGCUAGAAUCAUAUGCUGGCUGUCCAAGUGUGUAAAAUACACCUGUUAGCAAGGGCCGGGCAAGACCGGUGCCAUUCCGCCGCGGUAACACCGGCGGCCCGAGUGGUGAUCGUGAUUAUUGGGUCUAAAGGGUCCGUAGCCGGUUUGGUCAGUCCUCCGGGAAAUCUGAUAGCUCAACUAUUAGGCUUUCGGGGGAUACUGCCAGACUUGGAACCGGGAGAGGUAAGAGGUACUACAGGGGUAGGAGUGAAAUCUUGUAAUCCCUGUGGGACCACCUGUGGCGAAGGCGUCUUACCAGAACGGGUUCGACGGUGAGGGACGAAAGCUGGGGGCACGAACCGGAUUAGAUACCCGGGUAGUCCCAGCCGUAAACGAUGCUCGCUAGGUGUCAGGCAUGGCGCGACCGUGUCUGGUGCCGCAGGGAAGCCGUGAAGCGAGCCACCUGGGAAGUACGGCCGCAAGGCUGAAACUUAAAGGAUUGGCG